rnacentral:SRP_RNA from 1 species
GCUGGGCGUGGUGGCGGGCGCCUAUAAUCCCAGCUACUCAGGAGGCUGAGGCAGGAGAAUUGCUUGAACCCGGGAGGCGGAGGUUGCAGUGAGCCGAGAUCGCGCCACUGCACUCCACCCUGGGCAACAGAGCAAGAUUCUGUCUCAA